rnacentral:rRNA from 1 species
UCUACGGGGGGCUGCAGUGGGGAAUAUUGGACAAUGGGCGAAAGCCUGAUCCAGCCAUGCCGCGUGUGUGAAGAAGGCCUUCGGGUUGUAAAGCACUUUCAGUGGGGAAGAAAGCCUUGGGGCUAAUACCCUCGAGGAAGGACAUCACCCACAGAAGAAGCACCGGCUAACUCCGUGCCAGCAGCCGCGGUAAUACGGAGGGUGCGAGCGUUAAUCGGAAUUACUGGGCGUAAAGCGCGCGUAGGCGGUCUGAUAAGCCGGUUGUGAAAGCCCCGGGCUCAACCUGGGAACGGCAUCCGGAACUGUCAGGCUAGAGUGCAGGAGAGGAAGGUAGAAUUCCCGGUGUAGCGGUGAAAUGCGUAGAGAUCGGGAGGAAUACCAGUGGCGAAGGCGGCCUUCUGGACUGACACUGACGCUGAGGUGCGAAAGCGUGGGUAGCAAACAGGAUUAGAUACCCUAGUAGUC